rnacentral:misc_RNA from 1 species
GGACAAAAUCCAUAAUUUGAUAAGGCUGCAAAUAUGAACCCAUAAUUCAAAUUCAUUACAUCUCUGUCACAAAGAAGACCUAUAGGACGAAUGUGGGGAAAAAACUAGAUUGUUGGCGAAAAAGCAACACAACCACAAAGUAAUAGGCAAAUCUAAUCACCACCAGCUUUCUGGUAAACAUAGGUAAGGCCACAUUUACCACAAUAGUGCCUAUCAAAAUGGUUAGCCAUGAAGGUUCCAGCGCCACACUCAGCGUUGGGGCACUCCUUACGGAGCCUCUGAACCUUGCCAGAAUCAUCAACCUUGUAAAACUGGAGCACAGCGAGCUUAACCUUCUUCUUCUUGUGCUUGAUC